GAUGAACGCUGGCGGCGUGCCUAAUACAUGCAAGUCGAGCGAACAGACGAGGAGCUUGCUCCUCUGACGUUAGCGGCGGACGGGUGAGUAACACGUGGAUAACCUACCUAUAAGACUGGGAUAACUUCGGGAAACCGGAGCUAAUACCGGAUAAUAUAUUGAACCGCAUGGUUCAAUAGUGAAAGACGGUUUUGCUGUCACUUAUAGAUGGAUCCGCGCCGCAUUAGCUAGUUGGUAAGGUAACGGCUUACCAAGGCGACGAUGCGUAGCCGACCUGAGAGGGUGAUCGGCCACACUGGAACUGAGACACGGUCCAGACUCCUACGGGAGGCAGCAGUAGGGAAUCUUCCGCAAAGGGCGAAAGCCUGACGGAGCAACGCCGCGUGAGUGAUGAAGGUCUUCGGAUCGUAAAACUCUGUUAUUAGGGAAGAACAAAUGUGUAAGUAACUAUGCACGUCUUGACGGUACCUAAUCAGAAAGCUACGGCUAACUACGUG
rnacentral:rRNA from 1 species